rnacentral:tRNA from 1 species
GGGGAUGUAGCUUAAUGGUAGAGCACUUGCCUAGCAUGCAUAAUGCCCUGGCUUAAAUCCCCAGCACCA